CAGUAACGGCGAGUGAAGCGGCAAGAGCUCAAAUUUGAAAGCUGGCCCCUUCGGGGUCCGCAUUGUAAUUUGCAGAGGAUGCUUCGGGUGCAGCCCCCGUCUAAGUGCCCUGGAAUGGGCCGUCAGAGAGGGUGAGAAUCCCGUCUGGGAUGGGGUGCCUGUGCCCGUGUGAAGCUCCUUCGACGAGUCGAGUUGUUUGGGAAUGCAGCUCUAAAUGGGUGGUAAAUUUCAUCUAAAGCUAAAUAUUGGCCGGAGACCGAUAGCGCACAAGUAGAGUGAUCGAAAGAUGAAAAGCACUUUGAAAAGAGAGUUAAACAGCACGUGAAAUUGUUGAAAGGGAAGCGCUUGCGACCAGACUCGCCUCCGGGGUUCAGCCGGCAUUCGUGCCGGUGUACUUCCCCGGGGGCGGGCCAGCGUCGGUUUGGGCGGCCGGUCAAAGGCCUCCGGAAUGUAGCGCCCUUCGGGGCGCCUUAUAGCCGGGGGUGCAAUGCGGCCAGCCUGGACCGAGGAACGCGCUUCGGCUCGGACGCUGGCAUAAUGGUCGUAAACGACCCGUCUUGAAACACGGACCAAGGAGUCUAACAUCUACGCGAGUGUUCGGGUGUCAAACCCGUACGCGCAGUGAAAGCGAACGGAGGUGAGAGCCCCCCCGUGGGGCGCAUCAUCGACCGAUCCUGAAGUCUUCGGAUGGAUUUGAGUAAGAGCGUAGCUGUGGGGACCCGAAAGAUGGUGAACUAUGCCUGAAUAGGGCGAAGCCAGAGGAAACUCUGG
rnacentral:rRNA from 1 species